AUAAGGGCAGAGCCGUCAUGGUUGGGAUUAGUACCUUAUGAAAGGGCUGGAGGGAACUAGGUAGGGAUCUUUUGUUUUUUUGUUCCUUCCGCCAUGUGAAGACACAGCAUUACUGCCAUCCAGAAGUCACAAUGACAAGGUGCCAGCUUAGAAGUAGAGAUUGAGCCCUCAUCAGACACCAAAUACCAUCAUCUUGGUCUUGGACUUCCAGACUCCAGAACUGCUGGAGUGCAGUGACAUGAUUUUGACUCACUGCAACCUCUGCCUCUCAGGUUCAAGCGAUUCUUGUGCCUCAGAUUCCCAAGUAGCUAGGAUUACAGGUCCUGAAAAGGUUGCAUCAGCCCUUUAGCCAUUACCUGCCUCUUGAUGAAGCGUCAGAGCAGGUGUGCAUACACCUGCCAGCACAGAAAAACCUUAACGUAAAGUUGAAUACAAAAAGAAAGAGUCAAAGGUCAGAGAGGAGGGAGAAGGCUGUGCUAAACAAGGUGCUGGCAGUGUCAGGAGCUGGCCUCCUGCCUUCUGGGUUGAGAGAUAUCGAAUGCUGCUUUGCCAAGAGCUGCUUUCUUGAGCCCCUCCAAGGUUCUCCUAUUUGGACUCUGCUGCAGAUCCCUUGCCCUGGUUCUCCUCCUGUUGCCAAGGCCCAGGCUACUGUCUGGGCAAGAGCACACAUAGGGUUUGAAACCUUCCAGAACAAAAUGCCAGUCUACCUCCUCCUAUCUGGAAUCUAAGGCCUAACCCAUCACUGCACCUGAUGACAAGGACCUGCAGUGCUGCAGAGAAAAAGCAUAUCAAUGUGGAAUGUAUAAUUUACAGUCAAGCUGGAAGACUACAGCAACUUAAAUGGUACUAGGCACGGAACGGGCAGGAAAUCAAAAGUCAUCAAGGAAAGUUGGAGGAUAUUCCAGAGAUUGCAACAUAAGCCCCAGAGGUUCAAUGUAUUUGCUGAGUAAGGGCCUUUUAGAAAAACAAGUCUGUGGGUUGAUAUUAUUGGCACAUUCCCUCCAAAUGACAGACAUCAUCUCUUCUCCUGAAU
rnacentral:lncRNA from 1 species